CCUACGGGAGGCUGCAGUGGGGAAUAUUGGACAAUGGGGGGAACCCUGAUCCAGCCAUGCCGCGUGUGUGAAGAAGGCCCUCGGGUUGUAAAGCACUUUCAGUGAGGAAGAACGCCUGGUGGUUAAUACCCAUCAGGAAAGACAUCACUCACAGAAGAAGCACCGGCUAACUCCGUGCCAGCAGCCGCGGUAAUACGGAGGGUGCGAGCGUUAAUCGGAAUUACUGGGCGUAAAGCGCGCGUAGGUGGCUUGAUAAGCCGGUUGUGAAAGCCCCGGGCUCAACCUGGGAACGGCAUCCGGAACUGUCAAGCUAGAGUGCAGGAGAAGAAGGUAGAAUUCCCGGUGUAGCGGUGAAAUGCGUAGAGAUCGGGAGGAAUACCAGUGGCGAAGGCGGUCUUCUGGACUGACACUGACACUGAGGUGCGAAAGCGUGGGUAGCAAACAGGAUUAGAUACCCGAGUAGUC
rnacentral:rRNA from 1 species